AUACUUACCUGGCUCAGAGGCAACCUUGAUCAUCAAGGAGGUUCCUCCAGAGUGAGGCCCUACCAUUGCACUACGGCUGGGCUGACCUUUGCGAUUAAUCCAAAUGUGAUUAACUCGGGAGUACUAUUUUUGGUAGUGGGGGGACUGCGUUCGCGCUGUUCCCUG